rnacentral:rRNA from 1 species
AAACGGCGUCUAUACAUGCAGUCGAGCGGACAGAUGGGAGCUUGCUCCCUGAUGUUAGCGGCGGACGGGUGAGUAACACGUGGGUAACCUGCCUGUAAGACUGGGAUAACUCCGGGAAACCGGGGCUAAUACCGGAUGCUUGUUUGAACCGCAUGGUUCAAACAUAAAAGGUGGCUUCGGCUACCACUUACAGAUGGACCCGCGGCGCAUUAGCUAGUUGGUGAGGUAAUGGCUCACCAAGGCAACGAUGCGUAGCCGACCUGAGAGGGUGAUCGGCCACACUGGGACUGAGACACGGCCCAGACUCCUACGGGAGGCAGCAGUAGGGAAUCUUCCGCAAUGGACGAAAGUCUGACGGAGCAACGCCGCGUGAGUGAUGAAGGUUUUCGGAUCGUAAAGCUCUGUUGUUAGGGAAGAACAAGUACCGUUCGAAUAGGGCGGUACCUUGACGGACCUAACCAGAAAGCCACGGCUAACUACGUGCCAGCAGCCGCGGUAAUACGUAGGUGGCAAGCGUUGUCCGGAAUUAUUGGGCGUAAAGGGCUCGCAGGCGGUUUCUUAAGUCUGAUGUGAAAGCCCCCGGCUCAACCGGGGAGGGUCAUUGGAAACUGGGGAACUUGAGUGCAGAAGAGGAGAGUGGAAUUCCACGUGUAGCGGUGAAAUGCGUAGAGAUGUGGAGGAACACCAGUGGCGAAGGCGAUCUCUGGUCUGGUAACUGACGCUGAGGAGCGAAAGCGUGGGGAGCGAACAGGAUUAGAUACCCUGGUAGUCCACGCCGUAAACGAUGAGUGCUAAGUGUUAGGGGGUUUCCGCCCCUUAGUGCUGCAGCUAACGCAUUAAGCACUCCGCCUGGGGAGUACGGUCGCAAGACUGAAACUCAAGGAAUUGAUCGGGGGCCCGCACAAGCGGUGGAGCAUGUGGUUUAAUUUCGAAGCAACGCGAAGAACCUUACCAGGUCUUGACAUCCUCUGACAAUCCUAGAGAUAGGACGUCCCCUUUCGGGGGGCAGAGUGACAGGUGGUUGCAUGGUUUGUUCGUCAGCUUCGUUGUCGUGAGAUUGUUUGGGUUUAAGUUCCCGCAACGAGCGCACCUUUGAUUCUUAGUUUGCCAGCAUUUCAGUUUGGUCAACUCUUAAGGUGAACUUGACUGGAUGAAUCAACCGGAAGGCAAUGU